UCUGGUGACAAUGGCGAAGAGGUCACACCCGUUCCCAUGCCGAACACGGAAGUUAAGCUCUUCAGCGCCGAUGGUAGUUGGGGGAUC
rnacentral:rRNA from 1 species